CGGAGGAUCCAAGCGUUAUCCGGAUUUAUUGGGUUUAAAGGGUGCGUAGGCGGAAUGAUAAGUCAGUGGUGAAAGCCUGCAGCUUAACUGUAGAAUUGCCGUUGAUACUGUUGUUCUUGAGUAUAUUUGAUGUGGGCGGAAUGUGUCAUGUAGCGGUGAAAUGCUUAGAUAUGACACAGAACACCGAUUGCGAAGGCAGCUCACAAAACUAUAACUGACGCUGAGGCACGAAAGCGUGGGGAUCAAACAGGAUUAGAUACCCUGGUAGUCCACGCUGUAAACUAUGAUUACUCGAUGUUUGCGAUACACUGUAAGCGUCUAAGCGAAAGCGUUAAGUAAUCCACCUGGGGAGUACGCUCGCAAGAGUG
rnacentral:rRNA from 1 species